rnacentral:rRNA from 1 species
UACGUAGGGGGCGAGCGUUGUCCGGAGUUAUUGGGCGUAAAGAGCUCGUAGGCGGUUCGGCAAGUCGGAUGUGAAAUCUCCACGCUUAACGUGGAGGGGCCAUUCGAAACUGCUGUGACUCGAGUCCGGUAGGGGAGUGUGGAAUUCCCGGUGUAGCGGUGAAAUGCGCAGAUAUCGGGAGGAACACCAGUAGCGAAGGCGGCGCUCUGGGCCGGUACUGACGCUGAGGAGCGAAAGCGUGGGGAGCGAACAGG